CUCUCUUACGAUCCAACUCUCUCCUCUCACCGUUGUCCGAAGAGAGCGUCGCUGCUCUCUCUUCUCUUUCUAUUACCAUCUAUCGUUAGAUCUGUUACUACCUGUCCAUACAACCAUAAUCUGGAGCAAUUUCUCAACAUAAGCUACUUUCUUAGUUCAUCUGAAGAAAGGAGGAUGAACCUGCUCUUGUUUCUAAGCUUCUAGAUAAAUUAAUGAGGAGUGACAAAUAUGGGGAGACGAAGCAGCUUUUGGACAUGCAGGGGUUGUUAAGGGUUUCAAAACACUUUCCCAAAUGUACUAAUCUGUUGUUUAUGGUGGUUGAUUACACUAUUGUUUGAAGGUUAAGGGAAUCAACCACCAUAUUGUGAUAAAGUUAACUUGGAUGAAUGAGAAGACUGCAUUGCAUUUGGAGGUGGGUGAGUAGGGAAGUCAACAACACUAUAAGACUAAAAUACAAAAUCAGUGUUAAAACAUUAUUUGAAGGCAGCCCCAAAAUCAUUAAAUCACACAACAUGGAUAUCACCUGGAACACAUCACACAGCAGACCUAUUAGUAAGGGACGAAAUAUCCUCAUCAUUAAGCACCAUGGCUUUUGUAAGUGUAUACCUUUCCCAUCUCCUUGUGCAUCUGCUCCUUCAACUCCUCAGUAUCAUCCUCCACAGAAACCAAUAGUCUAAUAUUGGAAAUUAGAUAAAGAAAUAGAAAAGAAACCAAACAUGAAUAUAUAGUAGUAAUUGAACAAAAAAAAACUGAAUAAUUAGUAGAUAAUAUAGGUGAGAAUAGAAAUGUUUGCAGAAAACUAUGCUACCAAUUUUGUCUGUCCACAUGCAUAAUCCAGAAAAAAUCUCAAUACAAUUGUCAAAAAAAAAAAAAAAAAAAAACAAACAGAUGUGCAGGUGUUCUUACCGUAAUCUUCAAGCAACUGUGUUUUAUCAAUACUAAGAUGGCAGGUGGAAGGUGUUCUCACCGUAAUCUUCAAGCAACUGUGUUUAAUCAACUCUGGGGUGACAUAGCAACUGUGUUUUAUCAAUACUAAGAUGGCAGGUGGCAGGUGUUCUCACCGUAAUCUUCAAGCAACUGUGUUUAAUCAAUACUGAGAUGACAUAGUAUCUUUGCCCAGAUUUUUAAUUCUUUGUUUGCGUAUUUGCAAGUGGUUUGAACUGGAGAGAUUGUUUACUUGUGGGUGAACAUUGAUAUCAAGGGAACUUUAUAUAGAGGCUGAAAUUUGUUUUUCAA